GACGAACGUUGGCGGCGUGCUUAAUACAUGCAAGUCAACUGAAGCACCGGUAGUAAUACUGGUGUGGAGGUGGCGCACGGGUGAGUAACACGUAGGUAAUCUGCCUUCAGGUCUGACAUAACCCCGAGAAAUCGGGGCUAAUAGCAGAUGAUGCAGCGGCUUGACAUCAAGACAGUUGUUAAAGCUUCGGCGCCUGAAGAUGAGCCUGCGUCUGAUUAGCUAGUUGGCGGAGUAAUGGCCCACCAAGGCUACGAUCAGUAACUGGUCUGAGAGGAUGAUCAGUCACACUGGAACUGAGACACGGUCCAGACUCCUACGGGAGGCAGCAGUAAGGAAUAUUGCUCAAUGGGAGAAAUCCUGAAGCAGCAACGCCGCGUGAGGGAUGAAGGGCUUUUGCUCGUAAACCUCUGUAGUGAGGGAAAAAUUUCCACUCUGUGGAAUAUGAUGGUACCUCAAAGUAAGCCCGGCUAACUA
rnacentral:rRNA from 1 species